rnacentral:rRNA from 1 species
AUUGAACGCUGGCGGCAUGCUUUACACAUGCAAGUCGAACGGCAGCACGGGAGCUUGCUCCUGGUGGCGAGUGGCGAACGGGUGAGUAACAUAUCGGAACGUACCCAGUAAUGGGGGAGUAACUAGUCGAAAGAUUAGCUAAUACCGCAUACGCCCUGAGGGGUAAAGGCGGGGGAUCGGUAAGACCUCGCGUUAUUAGAGCGGCCGAUAUCUGAUUAGCUAGCUGGUGGGGUAAAGGCCCACCAAGGCGACGAUCAGUAGCUGGUCUGAGAGGACGACCAGCCACACUGGAACUGAGACACGGUCCAGACUCCUACGGGAGGCAGCAGUGGGGAAUUUUGGACAAUGGGCGCAAGCCUGAUCCAGCCAUUCCGCGUGAGUGAAGAAGGCCCUCGGGUUGUAAAGCUCUUUCGCAAGGGAAGAAACGAUACGAGCGAAUAACUCGUGUUAAUGACGGUACCUUGAUAAGAAGCACCGGCUAACUACGUGCCAGCAGCC